ACCACGAUCCCUUCCCUCCCCUCGCCCUCCCGCAUCGCGCCGCCAUCCACCUCGUCUCCCCGAUCCAGAUGGAGAUCCAAAGCCCUAGCCCACUCUCCCCUGCUCCGCCUCCAUGUCCAUGGCGACGGACGCCUCCCCCCUCCGGCGCGCAAGAGCCCGGGGCCUCAGCCGGCGGCAGAACCCCCUGAAGACAGCGUCCCGCCGCUGCCGGCGGGGUAUAUCUUCAUGUGCAGCGGCGAGACCAAGCCCGAGUGCUUCAGUUACAGGGUGCUGGGUCUGCCGCGGGGGAAGCUGGACGCCGUCUCCCCGAUCAGGCGUGGCGCUGUGCUCUUCCUCUACGACUUCCACGCCAAGUACCUCUACGGGCCCUACCACGCCAAGACGGUGCGCGCGCUGCUGGCGGUGCUCGGCGAGGACGACCGCCGAGAGGGGAUGCGCAGGAUGCCCAAGCGCGUCGCCAAGGCCUUCCGCGACGGCACCCGAGGGAACCAGGCUCUCAAAACCAAGUCAAACUCCGACAGCAAGUCAUUGGUCGAGAUAAGGGGGCGGACGAUGCAAGCGAAGCGGCGAAUCAUCAGAUACCAGGUGAAUAAGAAGGUAUGCAGAGAUCAAGUCUGGGUCCAGUUAUUAUCAGGAUACAACAUAGAAACUUACACUACAAGUAGUAGUCUAAAUCAAAGAACUCACCCUGUUUAUCUGAUCUUUGCAGCUGCUAGAUUUGAGUGGUAUCGUCACUGUAUUCUUCUGUGGUAUUGUGAUGUCACAUUACACCUGGCAUAACAUGACAGAGAGAGUUACAACAAAGUAACCUUAGUUCUUAGUCUGUGUUAUUUCAAUAUAAGCAAUCUUAUGUUCAGUCAAAAACUGUUGCAGGUGCUACUACGAGUAGUGCUUGUAAUUUAGUUUUGCUCUACCAAUCGUCAAUUAAUUCCCUGGUUACUACUAUGUAGGGGAUGUUACUGUUCAGUGAAAAACCUGCAUUGCAAGAUAUACUACAGUGCAGGUCCUUGUGGUACUAUGGGAUUUAUUAGCUGUUUGGAGAUGUACUCAUAUUGUGCCAUGUAUUUUAUUAGCUAUAUGAUUACACAUGUCAGUUUUAUUAUCAAAAUCUGAACUGUAGUAGCUAUGUAUUUUAUUAGCUAUUGGUUCUUUCUUUCUUCAGGGCUAUGAGUUGAUGGGCACGCUGCUGUUUUUGCUCUGCUUGAUAAUUCUUUUACUGUCCGGUCUGCUCUGCUCUGCAUAGUUUCCAGUUGCUUAUAAAACGAUAAAACAGUGGUGAUGUGAGGUCCGACAAUGAUGCUGGCAUUUGUUCAUGUCGCAAGCUCCAGGAUGAAAAGUGAAGAAGCAUUUAGUUCUAGCUCAUUGGAGCUAGUUAUACUUUUAUAGAUAGUUAUAUUUUGAUAUUUGGCUGUGUUCUUGGUGGUUGUAAACCUGAUGUGAAGUAUGUUCGAUUAUAAACGUGGUGUGAACUAUGUUUGAUUGUAAUGUACCAUAUUUGGUUGUUUGAUCUGUUU
rnacentral:rRNA from 1 species